AAUGAACGCUGGUGGCAGACCUAACACAUGCAAGUCGAAACGGGUCUAUAUUAAACUUCGGUUUUUUAUAGAUAGUGGCAAACGGGUGAGUAAAGCAUGGGAAUCUACCUAGAAGUUUGGAAUAGCUAUUAGAAAUGAUAGAUAAUACCAAAUACACCUCGAGAGGGAAAGUUGACUUCGGUCUUCGCUUUUAGAUGAGCCCAUGUUAAAUUAGUAGUGUAGGUAAUGGCCUACAAGAUGAUGAUUUAUAGCUGGUCUUAGAGGAUGAUCAGCCACACUGGAAUUGAGAUACGGUCCAGACUCCUACGGGAGGCAGCAGUGGGAAUAUUGGACAAUGGGCGCAAGCCUGAUCCAGCCAUGCCACGU
rnacentral:rRNA from 1 species